CCUACGGGAGGCAGCAGUGGGGAAUAUUGCGCAAUGCUCGGAAGCUUGAUGCAGCAACGCCGCGUGAAUGACGAAGUCCUCCGGUACGUAAAGUUCUGUCAGCAGGGAAGAAAAUGCAGGUAACUGACUAUGAAGCUACUGAUAAUUCCGUGCUAGCCGCCGCGGUAUUACGCAGGGGGCGCGCGUUCUCCGGUUCUACUGGGUGUAAAGUGAGCGUAGGCGGCGUUGCGAGUCAGUAGUGAAAGCGUAGGGCUCAACUAUGGGACGGCUAGUGAUACUGUGAUACUGGAGUGCAGGAGAGGAUAGCGGAAUUCCUAGUGUAGCGGUGAAAUGCGUAGAUAUCAGGAGGAAUACCGGUGGCGAAGGCGGCAUUCUGGACGGUAACUGACGCUGAGGUGCGAAGGCGUGGGUAGCAAACAGGAUUAGAUACCCUUGUAGUC
rnacentral:rRNA from 1 species